UACGAAGGGUGCAAACGUUGCUCGGAAUUAUUGGGCAUAAAGCGCACGUAGGCGGCUUGGCAAGUCGGAUGUGAAAGCCCUUGGCUUAACCGAGGAAGUGCAUCCGAAACUGGCGAGCUAGAGUACGAAAGAGGAUCGCGGAAUUCCCGGUGUAGAGGUGAAAUUCGUAGAUAUCGGGAGGAACACCGGUGGCGAAGGCGGCGAUCUGGGUCGAUACUGACGCUGAGGUGCGAAAGCGUGGGGAGCAAACAGGG
rnacentral:rRNA from 1 species